AUUGAACGCUGGCGGCAGGCUUAACACAUGCAAGUAGAGCGAGCGGCGGACGGGUGAGUAAUGUCUGGGCAAAUGCCUGAUGGAGGGGGAUAACUACUGGAAACGGUAGCUAAUACCGCAUACUAUCAGAUGUGCCCAGAUGGGAUUAGCUAGUAGGUGGGGUAAUGGCUCACCUAGGCGACGCUCCCUAGCUGGUCUGAGAGGAUGACCAGCACAACGGGAACGGAGACACGGUCCAGAUUCCUACGGGAGGCGCAAGUGGGGAAUAUUGCACAAUGGGCGAAAGCCUGCUGCAGCCAUGCGGCGGGUGUGAAAAAGGCCUUGGGGUUUUAAAGCAUUUUCAUCGAGGAGGCGUUACUCGCAGAAGAAGCAACGGCUAACUCCGUGCCAGCAGCCGCGGUAAUAC
rnacentral:rRNA from 1 species